rnacentral:rRNA from 1 species
CCUACGGGGGGCAGCAGUGGGGAAUAUUGCACAAUGGGCGGAAGCCUGAUGCAGCAACGCCGCGUGCGGGAUGACGGCCUUCGGGUUGUAAACCGCUUUCAGUAGGGACGAAGCGCAAGUGACGGUACCUACAGAAGAAGCACCGGCUAACUACGUGCCAGCAGCCGCGGUGAUACGUAGGGUGCGAGCGUUGUCCGGAAUUAUUGGGCGUAAAGAGCUUGUAGGCGGUUGGUUGCGUCGAAAGUGAAAACUCAGGGCUUAACCCUGGGCCUGCUUGCGAUACGGGCAGACUUGAGGAAGGUAGGGGAGAAUGGAAUUCCCGGUGGAGCGGUGGAAUGCGCAGAUAUCGGGAGGAACACCAGUGGCGAAGGCGGUUCUCUGGACCUUUCCUGACGCUGAGAAGCGAAAGCGUGGGGAGCAAACAGGCUUAGAUACCCCUGUAGUC